rnacentral:rRNA from 1 species
AACGAACGCUGGCGGCAUGCCUAACACAUGCAAGUCGAACGAGACCUUCGGGUCUAGUGGCGCACGGGUGCGUAACGCGUGGGAACCUGCCCUUAGCUUCGGAAUAACUCCCCGAAAGGGGUGCUAAUACCGGAUAAUGUCUUCGGACCAAAGAUUUAUCGCCUUUGGAUGGGCCCGCGUUGGAUUAGCUAGUUGGUAGGGUAAAAGCCUACCAAGGCGACGAUCCAUAGCUGGUCUGAGAGGAUGAUCAGCCACACUGGGACUGAGACACGGCCCAGACUCCUACGGGAGGCAGCAGUGGGGAAUAUUGGACAAUGGGCGAAAGCCUGAUCCAGCCAUGCCGCGUGAGUGAUGAAGGCCUUAGGGUUGUAAAGCUCUUUUACCCGGGAUGAUAAUGACAGUACCGGGAGAAUAAGCCCCGGCUAACUCCGUG